AACGUAGGAGACAAACGUUAUCCGGAGUUACUGGGCGUAAAGGGCGUGCAGGUGGUCUGUUAAGUCUGGCGUGAAAGCUCCUGGCUAAACCGGGAGAGGUCGUUGGAUACUGGCGGACUAGAGGACGGUAGAGGCGUGUGGAAUUCCGGGUGUAGAGGUGAAAUUCGUAGAUAUCGGGAGGAACACCUGUGGCGAAGGCGGCCAUCUGGACGUCAACUGACGCUGAGACGCGAAAGCAUGGGGAGCAAACAGG
rnacentral:rRNA from 1 species